CCUACGGGGGGCAGCAGUGAGGAAUAUUGGUCAAUGGGCGGGAGCCUGAACCAGUCAAGUCGCGUGAGGGAAGACGGUCCUAUGGAUUGUAAACCUCUUUAGGCGGGGAGCAAAGCCGGGCACGCGUGCCCGGAGGGAGAGUACCCGCAGAAUAAGCAUCGGCUAACUCCGUGCCAGCAGCCGCGGGAAUACGUAGGUGGCAAGCGUUAUCCGGAUUUACUGGGGGUAAAGGGCGUGUAGGCGGGAGUGCAAGUCAGAUGGGAAAACUAUGGGCUCAACCCAUAGCCUGCCUUUGAAAAUGUACUUCUUGAGUGCUGGAGAGGCACUCGGAAGGCGGUGUGUAGCGGUGAAAUGCGUAGAUAUACGGAGGAACACCAGUGGCGAAGGCGGAUUGCUGGACAGUAACUGACGCUGAGGCGCGAAAGCGUGGGGAGCAAACAGGAUUAGAUACCCGAGUAGUC
rnacentral:rRNA from 1 species